rnacentral:rRNA from 1 species
GGGAUUGCCCUAGUAACGGCGAGUGAAGCGGCAACAGCUCAAAUUUGAAAUCUGGCGCAAGCCCGAGUUGUAAUUUGUAGAGGAUGCUUCUGGCCAGCGGCCGUUCUAAGUUCCUUGGAACAGGACGUCAUAGAGGGUGAGAAUCCCGUAUGUGACCGGCGCGCAGCCUUUACGUAGCUCCUUCGACGAGUCGAGUUGUUUGGGAAUGCAGCUCUAAAUGGGAGGUAAAUUUCUUCUAAAGCUAAAUACCGGCCAGAGACCGAUAGCGCACAAGUAGAGUGAUCGAAAGAUGAAAAGCACUUUGGAAAGAGAGUUAAAAAGCACGUGAAAUUGUUGAAAGGGAAGCGCUUGCAACCAGACUUCGUAGCGAUGUUCCGCUGGUCUUCUGACCGGUCUACUCAUCGUCGCGAGGCCAACAUCGUCUGGGGCCGCUGGAUAAGACCUAAGGAAUGUAGCUUCCCUCGGGAAGUGUUAUAGCCUGUGGUGAUGCAGCGUGUCUCGGGCGAGGUCCGCGCUUCGGCAAGGAUGUUGGCGUAAUGGUUGUCAGCGGCCCGUCUUGAAACACGGACCAAGGAGUCUAACAUCUAUGCGAGUGUUCGGGUGUCAAACCCCUACGCGUAAUGAAAGUGAACGGAGGUGGGAAGCGCAAGCUGCACCAUCGACCGAUCCUGAUGUCCUCGGAUGGAUUUGAGUAAGAGCAUAGCUGUUGGGACCCGAAAGAUGGUGAACUAUGCCUGAAUAGGGUGAAGCCAGAGGAAACUCUGGUGGAGGCUCGCAGCGGUUCUGACGUGCAAAUCGAUCGUCAAAUUUGGGUAUAGGGGCG